ensembl:snRNA U6 U6 spliceosomal RNA
GUGCUCGCUUCGGCAGCACAUAUACUAAAAUUGGAACAAUACGGAGAUGAUUAGCAUGGCCCCUGCGUAAGGAUGACACACACAUUUGUGAAGCGUUCCAUAUUUUU